CGCUAAACUCUGUCACGCGUUGAGCACGAGGUCAGCGAAUGUGUGCUUGCACGAAGCCCAGGUUCUGAGUGUGAAACGCACGCCCUCUCACAGCCCCGUGUGGAUGCGGGGAAGGCUGAGGAUCGGGGCUCGGAGGAGAGCGCGGGCCUGAGACCCUGCGGACACGGAGGCCAGGAGCCCCUCCCUCCCAGGAGCCCCCUCCCUCCCGAGGAAGCCGAAUCCCUGCAGGCGGGCAGGACGGGUCAGUGGGAGGAAGGAGCAGAGUGAGUCUCUCCUGAGGAAAGGCUGAGGGAGCUUCUCUGGCGGAGGUGCCGUAGGUCCUGCUCAUUUGGACGUGGACGCAGCGGGUAAGUGCCGGGGAGGAGAAGAGGGGGGCGAUGCAGGCGGUGCUCCCUGACGCCCAGAGUACUGCUUCUAGAACGUUUGUGCCCAGAGGGAGGCGGUAAAUGAGGGGCUGAGGCGCUCGGAGCCGGGCGACCUGGUUCUGAUCCUGCGCUUCCCAGCGCCCUGGCACCUCCAGCAGCCACUCAGUCUAGCUCGGUGUCGUCCUUUCAGAGUGAGUGUUGUCACUAGGGCCCAGUGAGGCCACAUAUCCGCUUCUUGCACGAGGUUCUGUUGCGGACCUACCAUACACCUGGCCCUGGGCUAGGGGUGUAGAGGUCGCGGUGGGAAGACCCCCGGUGGCGCCUGCAGGCAGGUGGGAGGUCACAGCAAGCCCAAUCACCACCCCUGCGGUUUUCCCAGGGCCAAGUCGUCCUUCGCACGUCAGUGUCUUCAUCUGUAAAAUGUGGAGCAGCUGAAUCAAAAUCCUCUCUCAAGUGAACCCCCCCUCGACUUCUCGUCUGGGGCUGGUGUUUCUGAGCGCGUGUGUGUACUAUUCAGGCAACCUCCGGACACACCCAGAGACAGCUGCAGGGGCAGCCUGGGCCUUUGAGUGGGGGCAGAGCUAAGAUCCUAAGCUUGAUCAAAACAGACCAUGAGGUGAGACAUGAGGUUCUCACCUGCCUGAGACUUAGAUCCCAAACUCAUGAUGAGGAGGCCAGACUCAGGGCAGUUCCUUUGGUGAGCAUCCACUUAGACAGCUCAUAGUCCAGAGUCUCUGCAGACCAAGAUGUCAUUGGAUUACAGCUCUUGAACCCCAUCAUAACUGCGUGAGGUCGUGAUCACUCUUACUGUUACCGUGUUAGCGAUGAGGACACAGAAGCUUAAGAGAAGAGCCGGAAUCCGAGGGAUGCUGGUCCAUGGCUCCUAAAUGACUAUGUUUUAAGGUGUCGUAAGGUGUAGGCUGAGUUUGGGUUUGUCGUUAGUGCAGAACUCAAGACAGUGGUGGAUGCUGUGGGUUCAGGAGGGAGCUCUUUGGAGGCAGAAUACCUCCGGAGCGGCGGGUUCUCCCCUAAGAGCAGAGGCCAAAGAUGGCACUACCAGGCUCUCCUCCUUGGCCCCUCACCCCUGAGAGUGGCAGGAACACAAGGCAGGGGGUGGGUCACCUGGUUCUGGCGGGGAGGGAACCAGUUGGGGCAUCUCUUCAGUUGUCUCAAGAGGUUCUUAAGAUACUUGGUUGUAACCAGCCUGAAAAGCUGACGUGGAAAAUGUUUCCGUCUGGUUCCCGUAAACGUGAAAUCUGUUCUGAAUUACAUCCCUCUGAGAGAGAGAGGCCAAGAGAGGUUUGGUGUGUGUGCAGGAGAGCCCGCCUCUGAAUGGUCUGAAAGCUUUUGCAAUUUUUCCUAAUUGGUCCAAUCCUUUUCUGUAACCAAUCUCCUCUCUCUUUUGUCCAUCCCAUCCCCCACUGCCUGCAGCUUUGGAUUCCUGGCUGGGAUGUGGUUAUUGCCAGGAGUUCGGGUGUGUGUUUCAGGUGAGAGCAGGCAGGAGGGAACUCAAAACCCAGGUCUCGCAGUUGAGGGGACUUGUUUUCAACAUACCCCUGAGCUUAGGAGACCGGGGCUUUUUUUAAUGUUCUCUGUAUUUUUGUAUGUCUCCUAAGAUGCUCCUUAAACUGCUGGGGAAGAUUUGUGAUGCCCUGAAGUUCAGUGCUGCAGGAGAGGGGUACCCCCAGCUGACUGUGCCCCUGAUGGUGGGAACCUGAUUCUCUGAAUUAGAAGAAAAGACCAAAAACAGACAAAGUUAUUAUCAACACCAUACCCAAGGACUCUCCUCCCCAGGCCUGAGGUCACCUGAUUCUGGUGGCUCUACCCUUCAGCAUAUCAACUCUCUUAAAGUGUAUCCACAAACCAUAUUGAAUAAUGUAUUUUUGCUAUAACAAAAUUAGAGAGACGGUUGUAUUUUUUAUAAUGUUAAGUUUUAUUAAGGAUAAAUUAUUCAUUUUGGUCUUGUGUCAUAAACUCUAUUACACUGAUGGAUGACUGUGUGUUGAGCUACAUUUCACUAGUUGACACAAUGUUAACUUUUGUAGACAUGGAGUUAAAUAUUCAUUUUCAUUUUGCAGACAAAUUUUUAUAUUUUGGACCCAAUCUAGUUUUGUUUUUAAGCUUCAGGUAUUUUUGUGGGACAGUGGAUAGCUCCUGGGAUAUGGACAUUGAGCUUCUUGGGCCUAAUGGAUAAAAUCUCCUCUGUCCCCCACCGCCGCCCCCCACCCCCACCCCCAGAGAGGGGAAGAAAUGCAGAAAUGGCUUCAGGGAACUGAUGUUCCAUCUCUAGGCCUAAAUUGUGCAGGUUUUCUUGUCUCCUCCUUGGUCUUGUUUUUAUGACAACGAAAUAUAGGAGGUGUUCUCUGGGAGAUGUGGGGCCUUUCCAAACAUCCCAGGCAGGGAGCAUGUCAUCAGUUACCUGAGACCCUCUGACAGAGGGAUGAAUUGGAUUCCUCUCAUGAGUGUCUCCAUCUGCUCUGGUCCAGAAGGGAGGGCAGGGUGAGGGAAGGGCUGCUUCCUCUUGAGCCUCUGAUUGGCCCCUUCGUGUGGCUCUGGCUUCAUGUGGGCCCUGGAUUUCUCCCUGGCUCCACAAAGAGCUUUGCUCAGGUACAGCCAUGACAGAGGCACCGCCAGAACUGUGUGCAAACAUUGAGCACCAGGGGUGUAUCGAGGAGGGAGAGAACCAAGUCUGUACACAGAGAAGGAGGCUGGAGGGUCUAGUCCCUGGAAAUGGGGACUGAGCUAGGCUCUGGCCGUGCUGCCCAGGAUGAGGGGCCAGGUCUGUCUUCCAAAGGGCAACUUCAAGGUAGAGGGCAGCUGACCAACUCAGGAGGUUGAGUAGGACCUGUGGGGAGAGGAAAUGAGGGGCCCUUGACAGCAGUGACCACCUGACAUAAGAACCCUCCCCUGCAGGAAGGCUGCAGGGGGUUGGGACCCAUUUUCAUCUCUGAGAAGUAGUGAUUCUUGAAGAAAAAAGAAAACACACAGAAAGACCCCAGGAAAUCUCCUCCAGGAAAGGAAAUACAGAUCCUUUCAGAUCCCUGACCUAAGAGGACAAAGGGGGUCUGGGGUGGUUGCCUUGAUCAAGGUCAGAGCCAGAGUCUUUCAAGGUUGGACACUGGCAUGUCUGAAACCUGACAAGCAUCUUUUGGGUCAUACCUGGCAUUUGUGCAUUAAGGGACUAGAACACUCCACCAGAAUUAGCUCUUUGUCAAUGGGGUGGAAUCCCCUCCUCUACACUAAAAAUGAGAUUAUGUGAAACCCUUGAAAAUUUAUUUGAAAAAGGGAGGGCUUUCUGUGCCUGACGCAUUACCAUAAAAUGACACUGUCUUAUUCUUUAUUGCCUAAUUAGUAAUAUUGUACUUCAGUGUGAAAUGGCGUGUUUAAACAUUGCCAAUUGAUUUAAACAAAGGAUUUCAAAUACUGUAGGGAAGAGCACCAUGAAAAUUUGCUGUCAGCCAGCACCUCCAAGGGUGCAUUUUGUCACCUCCAAGGGUGCCUGCCUAGCAGGACCUGGCAGAGGGAAGGGCAUACCCACCCCCUGUGUUUUCUGGCCUCCAUGCCCUUCAUCCGCGGCUUAGCUGGUCUUGGGGCUGUUGCUUUUUAAUGAACUUUGAGGGUGUGUAACACACAUUGGGCUCUCAGCUGGGCUCUAUCUUCAUUCAUUCAUUGAUUACCCACCUAACAAGACAGACGUAAACUCUAGUUCUAGGGCCUCAGGGUGCAGAGCAAGUGUUAGUCAGCCCAGGGGGAAAUGGGUGUUUUUGUGGAAAAUCGAAACAGCUCGAUUUGUUCCUGCUCGGUGACGAGGGUGGUGGAGAGGUGAGUGUGUCCUCGGGGUGGCCAUGAAAAUGAGUGUCUUAGGGUAGCCUGUCUGUUGUGACAAGUGUCCCCCACCCCUGGUGGCUUAUUUCUUGCUGACACCAGUUAUUUCUAGCUGACACCACUGGAUUGGCACAGUGGCAUUUGGGUCCCUCGGGGCCAGGCUCUUCUGUCUAGAGGCAGUGCAUCCCAUUGGGCCUGGAGAUUUCCCUCUGGACCCCCUGGAUCUAGCUGACAGAUGGCGAUAAGGAAGAGGGCAUGAAGGGGGGCACCCAGAGUUUCAGGGUCCAGCCUAGAAGUGGUGCCCACCAUCUCCUGCCUGUCCCGCCGUCUAGAACACUUGGCCCAGCACUGCCUCCUGCAGGGGAGGCUGGGAAAUGCAGGUUUGCCGUGUGCACAGGUGGAGAGAAACAGGUGUCUCCGUGGCAGGGAGCAGCCCUCACACCUGGGGAGGCAGGAGCCCCUCCAUCUGAGGGGAGCCUCGGGGUGGGUGGGGCUGGUGAAUUGAUGGGGUUGGGUGCAGGGUGGGGACCGCAGGUGUGAGAAGACAUUCAGAGCAAAGGGAGAAGAAAUAGCUUGUCUGUGUGUCAGAUGGAACUGAAGUGUGGUCCCACAGCUAUUGGAGCCAUGACCUUGGGCCUGGGGCCUGUGAUGUGUCCCAGGCGUCACCUUCCUCCUUUAUCCCAAGUCUUCUCAGAGAUGUGCGUGUCCCCAGGGACCCUCCAUCUGUGGUCACCAUGGCUGCAGUCUCACCAGGAGCCACUUUUUCUGACAGACCCCUUCUUUCUGUCCUGGAUGAGCCCUGACAGGGACCCUUCCACCGGGUCCCCCACACAGGUCUCUGCAGGUGGCACAGUCCAUACCCAUGUUUGGGGAAGUUCACAUCAUUGUCACAGAUAUUGGCUGUUUGAGAUUUCUGUGCUUGAAAAGCCCCUCAGAUGUUUCCCCAGCCUGGGUGUCAGCACUUUAUUACUUUUCUCUCUGGCUUUUCCACCUCUGCUACCCUGAACAGCUCAGACACCCCUGCCCACGGUUGCUGUACGGAGCGCUUCCGUUCCUUCUGCCCCCACCCCCGCCCCAGCUUGGAUCCCCCCUCGUGCGUCCCCAGCGUGUCUCCCCCACCAGGGCCCAUCUCCUUCCACAGGGGAGACUUCUUUCCCCAUCACUUUGAAGGCAGAGGUAAAUGGAGUCAGCUCUUAAGAGACCUCUUCUUUCUCUGAUAUUUCACAUCACCAAAGUCGGAUGGGAGUGUUGCCCCAUUAGCAGGGUUGCCGUGAGGCUUACGAAAGGUAACACAUGCAGGUGUGCAGGAGCCCAGCACACAGUCACCCUCCAUUAAAAGGCAGCCCCACGGCCUCCUGUCCCCGCAGCCCUCAGCGUCGCACUGUCCUGUGGUCAGAGGGAGGGUGUGGUGCGGGGGGAGCCAGAGGUGGGGCUGGAGAGGAGAGUGGACCCCACAGCCUCACGGGUAUUUUUCCAAGGAGACAGGCCUUCGUCCUCUGCAUUCAGAAGUCGGAACACAGCACAUCAGCUGCAAAUGGGAGGAAAACCUUUGAAAACUGCCAUGUGUCUCAGCAGAGGUGUUUUGCUAAGAUUCAAGAUGUGGCUGCAGGAUGGGUUGAGUUUUCAGGGACACCCCCCAGAGGCUGGGGGGAGCUCAGGGGUCCCCAUCUGGGGUGGGGGCAGCACGGUGGUCCCCUUGGCCAGCUGACCCAGCCUGGGAGGCCCCGCCCAACCUUGCUGUCCACAGAGGUGGUGUGUGGGAGAGGGACCAUGGGGGAGAGGCUGGGGUCCCAGUGCCCCAUGGGGCCUCCACCUCAUCGUCUCUUUACAGGAAGAGAGCCCCAGACAAGCUGGGUGGUCAUCAGGGUCUGGCAGGGCCCUGGGGCCGAGACCGUCCUCUCUCCUGCAAAUGCGAGGAGGGUCUCCAGGGGCCAUCUGGGAGAGGGGGCUCUCCUGCCGUGGCCUGGACAAAUCUGGGGCAUCUGCCCUCCCCAACACCUCAAGGCAUGGGGACGUCUGCAGUUGUGGGCAGGUUCCCUUAAAGACCACUGACCUUCACUGUGCCCCCUGGAUGGAAGGAAGUGUCCUCUCUUCCUGCUAUGUCCUUGCUGACUCUGAAGUCAUCCUCCUCAGGUACCCCCCCUUCUCUGUAGCCCCCUCCCCAGUCCCACCACCUCUUUGGAAAGCUGCUUGACCCCCAGCUCUCAGUUCUCCCGCAGGUACGAGCACUGCUGCUCUGUUAGGGAGCAGCUCCUUUCUGCCUAGUGGCCAGAUGGCCCCCGUGUCUCCUGAGGUAAAGGUGGGAUUGGGCUAAAGAGUGUUUUUAGCCAUACAGUUCUGCAGUUGGAGAUUCUCUGUUAUUUCUGAGAUAGGUUCCUUUGGAAAGCAUUGUUGU
rnacentral:lncRNA from 1 species